GAUGAAGAACGUAGCGAACGUGCGAAACGUAAUGUGAAUUGCAGAAUUCAGUGAAUCAUCGAAUCUUUGAACGCAUCUUGCGCUCCUUGGUAUUCCGAGGAGCAUGCCUGUUUGAGUGUCGUGAAUACUCUCAACUUCAACCCUUUUUUCGGAAAGGGAGGAAGGUUGGACUUGGGUGUUUGUUGAAGUGCGAGCUUCGACUCAUCCUAAAUGCAUUAGCGAUCUGCCUCGAUCACACACAAUGUGAUAAUUAAAACUAAAGCAUUGUUUAAUGAUCAAGUCGAGACUGCUUCUAACUGUCGCAAGACAAUAACGUGCAUACAUUUGUGCAUGUCACUUGACCUCAAAUCAGGUAGGACUACCCGCUGAACUUAAGCAUAUCAAUAAGCGGAGGA
rnacentral:misc_RNA from 1 species